UACAGAGGGUGCGAGCGUUAAUCGGAAUUACUGGGCGUAAAGCGCGCGUAGGCGGCUUUUCAAGUCGGAUGUGAAAUCCCCGGGCUUAACCUGGGAACUGCAUUCGAGACUGUCUAGCUAGAGUAUGGGAGAGGGAAGUGGAAUUUCAGGUGUAGCGGUGAAAUGCGUAGAUAUCUGAAGGAACAUCAGUGGCGAAAGCGACUUCCUGGACCAAUACUGACGCUCAUGUGCGAAAGCGUGGGGAAGCAAACAGGG
rnacentral:rRNA from 1 species